rfam:Gorilla gorilla gorilla genomic chromosome, chr7, whole genome shotgun sequence
AGCUUUGCACAGUGGCAGUAUUGUAGCCAAUGAGGUUUAUCCAAGGCAUGAUUAUUGCUAAUUGAAAUUCAAAAAAAAGCU